AGAUACCCUGUUAUACUAUGUCCAAAAAAUAGUUUAGUGACUGGAGUAGUAAGAAUUAAUUUAUUUAAAAUUCAAAGAGUUUGGCGGUAUUUUAGUCCUGUUAGAGGAACCUGUUUUAUAAACGAUAAUCCUCGAAAUAUCUUUCUUGUUUUUAUGAAGUUAGUAUACCAUCAUUAUUAGAUAAUUCUUUGAUAUGAAUUAUUGUAAUUGAGUUAGUCAAGAAUAUUAGAUCGCGGUGCUGCUUAUAAACAAGUACAAAUGGGUUACAAUAAAAUUGAUUUAUUAGACGGCUCCGUUGGUAAAAAUAACGGUAAAGGUGGAUUUAAUAGUAAUGGAAGUUUAAUAAGCUUGUCUGAUAAAGGCUCUAGAAUGUGUACAUA
rnacentral:rRNA from 1 species